UACAGAGGGGGCAAGCGUUGUUCGGAAUUACUGGGCGUAAAGAGCUCGUAGGUGGUUUGUCGCGUUGUUCGUGAAAACCUGAGGCUUAACCUUGGGCGUGCGGGCGAUACGGGCAGACUGGAGUACUGCAGGGGAGACUGGAAUUCCUGGUGUAGCGGUGGAAUGCGCAGAUAUCGGGAGGAACAUCAGUGGCGAAGGCGGCUACCUGGCCCAAUACUGACACUCAGGUGCGACAGCGUGGGGAGCAAACAGG
rnacentral:rRNA from 1 species